rnacentral:siRNA from 1 species
CCAUCGAUCUAAAGUCACGCAUGC